AUACGGAGGAUCCGAGCGUUAUCCGGAUUUAUUGGGUUUAAAGGGAGCGUAGAUGGAUGUUUAAGUCAGUUGUGAAAGUUUGCGGCUCAACCGUAAAAUUGCAGUUGAUACUGGAUAUCUUGAGUGCAGUUGAGGCAGGCGGAAUUCGUGGGGUAGCGGUGAAAUGCUUAGAUAUCAAGAAGAACUCCGAUUGAGAAGGCAGCCUGCUAAGCUGCAACUGGCAUUGAGGCUCGAAAGUGUGGGUAUCAAACAGGAUUAGAUACCCUGGUAGUCCACACGGUAAACGAUGAAUACUCGCUGUUUGCGAUAUACAGCAAGCGGCCAAGCGAAAGCGUUAAGUAUUCCACCUGGGGAGUACGUCGGCAACGGUGAAACUCAAAGGAAUUGACGGGG
rnacentral:rRNA from 1 species